GUUCUGCCAAACAUUCUUCUGAGUUGAGAUCUGGAUUCACUAUCUCUUUCUUCUAAAUUCUAAUUCCACCGGCAACAAUGGAGAAUGAAGCAAUGUACACUACUUCUAAGAGCCAAUUGAGGCUUUGAAGAUAAAAACAAGAAACACCAACAAAUUGUAGGAAAUCUGAGAAAUUUUCAACAAAAAAUUGAUGAAGAUUAGUGGAAAUUUCAACAGAAAAUGGAUGAAAUUCUGGAUCAAUUCGGGGAAAUUGUUUGGAGCUCAAACCAAAGAAGGGGUACCAUCAAUCUUACAUGAAUGGGAAUGUUCCAAUUUUGAUUCAAAUAAUAUUGGUUCAAGAACAGUUGAUCCAAGAUGCAAUUAUGGCUGUCCAGAUUGGUGAAGUUUGAAAGGAAAACCAUAAAAAAUUCACUAAUCAGUUUUUUUUUUUUUAGAAUAAGUUAAUCAGAUUUUAAUGUCUCUUGAG
rnacentral:misc_RNA from 1 species